UUCCUCUUCAGCUCCCUCGCGCACUGCAUUGAUACCGGAGCCGGAAGAUGACGUCAUCUUCCGGCUCCGGUAUCAGAACGUGGCGCGCGAGGGAACGGAA